rnacentral:lncRNA from 1 species
UAUAAUAUAUAUAUAUAUAUAUAUAUAUAUAUAUAUAUAAUUUUAUUUUAUUUUAUUUUUUUUAAAUACUAUUAUUAUAUAAAUAUUAUUUAUAAAUAUAUAAUAAUUUAUUUUAUAAUAUUAAAUAUAUAUUAUUAUAUAUUAUAUUACAUAUUAUAUUACAUAUUUAUUAUAUAAUAUAAUUUAUUAUAAAUAUAAAUUAUAAUAAUUAAAUAUAUUAUCAUAAUUAUUAUAUAUUAAUAAUAUAUAAUAUAUAUAAUUAGAGAAAAUAUAUAUAAUAAUUAUAAUAUAUUAAUAAUAUAUAUAUUAAAAAAUAAUUUAAAUAGUUUUUUUCUUUAUUUUUCUUUAUUUUUCAACCAAACAACUAUCAUGAAAAACUAGUUUUCUUUUUCUACAAAUCAAACAUAAACGAUGUAAAACUUUUUUCCACCAAAAAUUUUUUUUCCACAGUUUUAUGUGGAACCAAACACACCCUUAACGAAGAAUAUAUAUUUCAGGCAUCCAAA